rnacentral:rRNA from 1 species
GAUGAACGCUGGCGGCGUGCUUAACACAUGCAAGUCGAACGGUGAAGCAGAGCUUGCUCUGUGGAUCAGUGGCGAACGGGUGAGUAACACGUGAGCAACCUGCCCCUGACUCUGGGAUAAGCGCUGGAAACGGCGUCUAAUACUGGAUAUGAGCUGCGACCGCAUGGUCAGCAGUUGGAAAGAUUUUUCGGUCUGGGAUGGGCUCACGGCCUAUCAGCUUGUUGGUGAGGUAAUGGCUCACCAAGGCGUCGACGGGUAGCCGGCCUGAGAGGGUGGCCGGCCACACUGGGACUGAGACACGGCCCAGACUCCUACGGGAGGCAGCAGUGGGGAAUAUUGCACAAUGGGCGAAAGCCUGAUGCAGCAACGCCGCGUGAGGGAUGACGGCCUUCGGGUUGUAAACCUCUUUUAGCAGGGAAGAAGCGAAAGUGACGGUACCUGCAGAAAAAGCGCCGGCUAACUACGUG